GACGUAGGGUGCGAGCGUUGUCCGGAUUUAUUGGGCGUAAAGAGCUCGUAGGCGGCUUGUCGCGUCGACCGUGAAAACUUGGGGCUCAACCCCAAGCCUGCGGUCGAUACGGGCAGGCUAGAGUUCGGUAGGGGAGACUGGAAUUCCUGGUGUAGCGGUGAAAUGCGCAGAUAUUGGGAGGAACACCGGUGGCGAAGGCGGCCCCCUGGGCUGGUACUGACGCUGAUGCGCGAAAGCGUGGGUAGCAAACAGG
rnacentral:rRNA from 1 species